rnacentral:rRNA from 1 species
GUGGGGAAUAUUGGACAAUGGGCGAAAGCCUGAUCCAGCCAUGCCGCGUGUGUGAAGAAGGUCUUCGGAUUGUAAAGCACUUUAAGUUGGGAGGAAGGGUAGUAACCUAAUACGUUGCUACUUUGACGUUACCGACAGAAUAAGCACCGGCUAACUUCGUGCCAGCAGCCGCGGUAAUACGAAGGGUGCAAGCGUUAAUCGGAAUUACUGGGCGUAAAGCGCGCGUAGGUGGUUCAGUAUGUUGGAAGUGAAAUCCCCGGGCUCAACCUGGGAACUGCAUUCAAAACUGCUGAGCUAGAGUACGGUAGAGGGUGGUGGAAUUUCCUGUGUAGCGGUGAAAUGCGUAGAUAUAGGAAGGAACACCAGUGGCGAAGGCGACCACCUGGACUGAUACUGACACUGAGGUGCGAAAGCGUGGGGAGCAAACAGGAUUAGAAACCCCUGUAGUCC